rnacentral:lncRNA from 1 species
UAGCAUUCGCCAAGGAUGAACUGAAAGCAGGAUCUGUCUCACCAUACACUGAGAACUGUAGAAUAUGCAAGGCACAUGGAACUUAUUUUCUUACAUAUAAAAGCAUGUAUAUGCUCCUUAUACAUCUGUCCUAAUGCUUUCCAACAGUCCUCACUCUAAGCCUCACCAAGACCCAGAUGAGGAAACAAAGGCGCAGAGGGAUAAACUCAGAGCAGGAAGACAGCAAGGAAGAGCAGUGAAAAGCCUGGUGCUUAAUCCAACCCCUUACUCACUGCUGAGACCUGGAAAUUUGUUCAUCAGCUACAAAACAGGAGAGAUGAUAACUCAUUAUGUAUGUGUGAUGAUAAACAGAGACAAUAUAUUGAAGAGCUUAUAUGAGUGGCAGACAUGGGACAUGCUUCCCUGUGGCUGGCCAGCCUGUCAUCUUCUCCACCAUGUGUCCAGAGAAAAGCUUUGCAAAUCAACCUCUCGAUGAAUGAUGAUGGCACCAGUGAAAUCAGGGGAGGCAGAAAAUCAUGUUAGUUUGGUUUAUAAUGCAAGAAGUUACAGAAUACAGAGUGCUCAAAACUAAGAAUGUGCUAGUUGUAUAACAGGGUCCUUCUUGGAACUCAGCCAGGAUUCAAACUAUAAAGGAAAAUCGGGUGAGCAGGUGGAAUAGUCAAGUGAUUCUAUUUGCAUGAAUAAA